rnacentral:rRNA from 1 species
UGGGGAAUAUUGGACAAUGGGGGGAACCCUGAUCCAGCCAUGCCGCGUGUGUGAAGAAGGCCUUAUGGUUGUAAAGCACUUUAAGCGAGGAGGAGGGUACUGGUAUUAAUACUACCAGCUACUGGACGUUACUCGCAGAAUAAGCACCGGCUAACUCUGUGCCAGCAGCCGCGGUAAUACAGAGGGUGCGAGCGUUAAUCGGAUUUACUGGGCGUAAAGCGUGCGUAGGCGGCUAAUUGAGUCGGAUGUGAAAUCCCCGAGCUUAACUUGGGAAUUGCAUUCGAUACUGGUUAGCUAGAGUGUGGGAGAGGGUGGUAGAAUUCCAGGUGUAGCGGUGAAAUGCGUAGAGAUCUGGAGGAAUACCGAUGGCGAAGGCAGCCAUCUGGCCUAACACUGACGCUGAGGUACGAAAGCAUGGGGAGCAAACAGG